UGGGCGGGGAGAUGUACAGGCUGCCCAGCCCAGGACCGCCCCCUAGCCCAGGCAGAGCCCCUGGGCCUGAGAAACUGUCUCCCGUGGGGGGUGUUGGCCUUGCCCCUUCUCUGCUUCCCACACCCAGGGCGGCUGCAGAUGGCAGCAUCUCUGGGGACAGCAGCUACGACUGAGUCCACAGGCCUACACUGAGCUGCUUGGGCUGAGGCGGCGUGCUCAGCCCAGAGCCCCCGGAACAGGCUUCUGCAGGGCUUGAGCCAAGGCCGCCGCGAUGCCGCACUUCCUGGACUGGUUCGUGCCUGUUUACCUGUUCAUCUCUGUGCUCAUCCUGGUGGGCUUCGGAGCCUGCAUCUACUACUUCGAGCCCGGCUUGCAGGAGGCGCACAAGUGGCGCAUGCAGCGCCCCCUGGUGGACCGCGACUUCCGCAAGACGCUGAUGGUCCGCGACAACCUGGCCUUCGGGGGCCCCGAGGUCUGAGCUGCCCUGUGCUGGUGGCCGUGGGGGGUGCCCUCUCCCUCGCCACCCAGCCUGGAGACCCUGGGGCAGAGGGAGGCCACCCCUGGUCCUCCGGGCGAUCGCUCUGCAGCCUGGCUCCUCCCAGAAGGAGGUGCUCCGGGAGGACCCCGGCUGAGCAGGGAUGGGGCACCUGGAGUGCCUUGAGAUGUCGCUGCUGCUGAUGGCCCCGGGCUUGCUCUCCAGGUUAAGCUGGCUCACCCCACGCCUGCCCUCCCCAGCUCCGUGGACACCGUCCUGCUCCCCUCCAGUGCCUUUGUGCUGCCUGGCGCUCCUGGCCCUCCACCCAGAGCCAGGCACUCUGCCUGUCCUGAGCCUCCAGGUCUCCCACGUCCCUUCUGGAUCCUGGGUGACAUUCGGCUCCCCACUCCAGCUGAUGGUCUCGACCCUGCAGCUCCACGGGCCAGGCUUCAAGGCUGAUGCAAGGAAAGGGCCCCCUUUGGAGGGAAGUCAGCUUAGGCCAGCCCAGCUCUAACACUCUGGACCCAAACUUAGCGUGGAUGAGUGUGUGUGAUGGCGCGUGCCAGGGGCAAGACCAUAGAGGAAGGAGGUGUGUGUAUGUGUGUGUGGGUGUGAUAGAGGGAGAGAAAGUUUGGGAGGAGUGAGCAGCCUUGGAGACAGCAGGGUGUGGGGGAGAAGCAUGUAUGUGUGAGAGGGAGAGGGGGGGCCCAGGCAGGAUGGGAAGUGGGGGACGGAGUGAGUUCCAUGGGCAUUAUGGGGGCCACCAGCAGCAGUUCCCGCCCCCUCCCUUGGCUGGACUCCCCGCUUUCUCUCCUUUCCCAAGACUGAGGCUGCUGGCAGGAGCCCUGCCUUCUCUCCUGGUUCUGUGCUGUUCCCCCAAGCCCACCUUGGAACCCCCUCCUAUGUGGAGCACCACCCUUUCUUUUUGGACAUCUAUUGGCCACCUGCCUCACUCCCCUCCUCUGGGGCUUCCACCUUAAUUUAUUGCAAUAAUAAAGACUCCAUGACUAUCUCA